AAAUCUUAGUAUAUCACUUGCAAAAGCAUCAUACAUUAUAUUAAAAAAAACACAAUACAAGUAAUGUUCUGUCUGUCAAUAGCCACUCAUUCUAAUUCCAUUGAGGUGAAAUUCAGGAAGGAAACGAAUUCCAGGUGCUUAACCCCUUUCCGAAGUUUCCAUGACUCUUAUGACAAAUUGAUACCUUAGAGUGGGAAGGUUCCUUGCAAGAAUUCCAGCAACAUCUUCUGUAAAUUCCAGCUUUUAAGCCCCACAAUCCCAAAGUCCAAAUCUACCCACAAUUAUUAAAAUACUGCAUUAAAACAUCUGGUUUUACAAAUUGUUGGGCAAGUGGAAACCUAUCAUUGGUGAAUAUGCAAUAUUGGGGUGCAUGCCCAUUUUGCUUUCCUUGUGAAAUUAAGCUCCAAUGACUAAAAUAUGAGUUUGACCUCUCGUAUUAUUUUCUAACCUCGACUGACCAGCCCCUAUUUAAAUGAUUUUAGUUGUUUAUUUUUUAAAUGCUGUUUCAUCCUUUUCCACUGUUCAAGUGGAAGAUUCAAGCUUCAAAGGAAGGAACUUGAAAGAGAAGAUUCACUCUGAACACAACAUAAACAAUGAUUUCUCACGUUACUGCUUCAUCCAAGAUUCACUAAGGGGCUCAUCUUGUCGACCUCCCCCAUGAUGAGCCCUGUCAAUCGACCUCAGUCAGGUGAACGACAGAAAACAGAGACUGCAGCAGCGCCACAGCUUGGUGCCUUCCCGGAGCAUGCGCUCUAUUUAGGGCGUGCACCUACGGAUGUCAAACCGGAUUGCAUCACCCUGCUGUGGACUUCUGCUGCCGCAAAUGCAAGAAGAGGAAGAAGAUUUCUUUACUCAGAGAGUGGUAGCGGUGUGGAAUGAGCUGCCAGUGGAAGUGGUGGAGGCAGGUUCGUUGGUAUCAUUUAAAAAUAAAUUGGAUAGGCAUAUGGGUGAGAAGG